UUGAAACCAGUACUUGCUGACAAUAGGAAGCAAUAGUUAUUAUAUUCUGGCACAAAAAGUGCUUCAGCACCAUCAUUGAAUGUAACACUGAUGACUGAGUGUUUUUGUGAAUUAGCCAUGGAGGAAUGGUUCAUAGAGUAACGUUAUCUAUCUCUGAAUCUAAUACUCACCCUUUGUUAAGAACACACUCUUGAUGUUUGCAUUUUAUCUAUUCACAGUUGGGGGUGCUGACUGACCAUCAGGAGCUGCAAAGAUUUGAUUACAUUUAAUAUCCUUGACGUUUACAACAGACUCACUGUUGCUAGUAGCUUCUAGAGUUUUAGUUUGUGUUUGUAUUGAUUACAGAUGGUUUUGCUUGCACAGAUCAAUAAUGCUGGUUCUGGUUUGGGUGUUUUCCUGCACUAGUUUAUGUACAGAAAGGAACGCUGGGAGCUGUGACGGUCACUUUUGGGAAACUGCAGAGAAGCACAAAACUGCAUCUCUACAAAUGACCCCAUGAUCAUCAGAUCAACAAGGAAGAUGUUCUUUGGGGCAAGGACUCCAAGGUUUUGAUGGUGGAGCUGCUUUGUGAAUAUACUCAUACAGCAUCACCAGAAUGUGUUGAAUCCCAACCCCCGGCCCAACCUCUGUUUUUUUUUUUUUUCUUUAUACAGAAGAAAGAACACUGUAAUUUGAGUUUGCUAAUUCCUUGUUAAGAAAAUAAAAAGUUUGAGUUUG